GGAGAGGUGGCUGAGUGGCUGAAGGCGCACGCCUGGAAAGUGUGUUUAGGGUUAAACCUAACGAGGGUUCGAAUCCCUCUCUCUCCGCCA
rnacentral:tRNA from 71 species